UACAGAGGGGGCGAGCGUUGUUCGGAAUUACUGGGCGUAAAGGGCGCGUAGGCGGCCUUCUAAGUCGAACGUGAAAUCCCCGGGCUCAACCCGGGAACUGCGUCCGAUACUGGGAGGCUUGAAUCCGGGAGAGGGAUGUGGAAUUCCAGGUGUAGCGGUGAAAUGCGUAGAUAUCUGGAAGAACACCGGUGGCGAAGGCGGCCCGCUGGGCUGUGGCUGACGCUGAGGCGCGACAGCGUGGGGAGCAAACAGG
rnacentral:rRNA from 1 species